CUUACUUCUCAAAGAAGUUAAGUUGUUCCAUGAAAGGGAGUCAAGGAUCAAGUACUCAAGCAUACAAGCAGAACCAUAUGACUCACAAAGUGUUAAUCAAAAGCCAACCUAUGUCAGCUUAUGCCACAGGUAAUUCACUAUGUCUUAAAACAACACAAAAUGCAACAAAAGACAUCAUAAGCAAACUCAUGCAAUUAUGUGUCAAGACAAAUGAA
rnacentral:lncRNA from 1 species